UGGGCAGUGUUCGGACGUGCUGACACCUUGUACUCACUAAGGUCCAAAAUUUGAAACCCUUGCAUUUCAGCUCCACUGGGGGGAAUAAAACUCAAGAUGAAGGUAGUGUGUUCUUAGUUUCUUCCUGAGGCUUAAGCUCUCUAGAGAAGUAGCUCUGUCUAUGAGGAUAGAUGUGGGUCUGCUGCACUAGCCCUGAUCUUAGGGGGAUCCUUGUAUUCGUCUUUUCACUUGUGCUAAGGGUCACGGUUCCUUAAUCAACAAGAAGUCUGAACACAACCCUGGUGCACACGCCUGAUUGAGAAGGGCUGAACACCAAAAGAGAAGGAAUUUUCCGGGCUGUACCUUUGCUGAGGAUGCGGACAUAGCCAUAACGAUGGAGUUCUGCACGGACUUGGCAAGUUCAUCACAAGGAACCCAGGAGGAAGAAGAGGGGCAUGUGGAGAGAUCUCCUGCCUCAGAAACCUGAAGACUGAGGAUAUACUUCAAUGGCAGAGCCCUUGCCUAGGAGGCGGAAAGUGAUGUCUAUGUUCAGCCACCAACACUGAAAAAACUUGUUUUCUUUGGCAUCAUAAAAGGAGGAGGUUUAGUGGUCUCUGCAGCAUUCCUACAGUAUCUGCAUGUAUCAUUCAGGAUGUGACAAGCUCCAAUCUGAUUCAAACAUGUGGAGAAAAACCACACACACAGAGCCCCAGAAUGUCCCAGAAUGGAUGGGACAGGACAGACACUGGUAGAGAUGAAUUCUUCGUAUGUGGAAUAACAGAAAGGGACACACGAGGGCCAUGCUACAGAAUUAACAAAGUAAGAAUGAGAACAGCUUUCUUCUCGAGUUGAAGCACACAGGCCCUCCUACCAGAUGGACCACGUCUCACCUUAGGCUACUAUGCGAACCAGCGGGAUCUAAAGCAACUUGCAUAGCAACUCUCAGAUUUAAGAUUUUUACACAUAAAACAAUGAUAAAAUCUAUGUUAGAGAUAUGGUUUGAAUAAGAAUGGCCCCAUAGGCUUCUAUAUUUGAACGUUAUCAGGGAGCAGCACUUUUUGGGAAGGUUUAGGGAGUGUGGCCUUGGGAGAGGAAGUGUGUCCCUGGGACUUCAGAAGCUCAUGCCAACUCCCUCACCUAAAGGUCAGGGGGUAUCUCUUCUCCAGCACCGCGCCUGCCUGCCACCAUGUGUACCACUAUGUGUGCCACCAUGCUCCCCGCCAUGAUGAGCACGGACUAAGCCUCUGAAACUGUAAACAAGCUCCCA